CUGGCCGUAAACGUUGGAUACUAGGUGUGGGGGGUAUCGACCCCCUCCGUGCCGCAGUUAACACAUUAAGUAUCCCGCCUGGGGAGUACGGCCGCAAGGUUGAAACUCAAAGGAAUUGACGGGGGCCCGCACAAGCGGUGGAGCAUGUGGUUUAAUUCGACGCAACGCGAAGAACCUUACCCAGGCUCGAAAUGUAGCGGACAACCGUGGAAACACGGUCUCUACCUUCGGGUAGUCGCUGUAUAGGUGC
rnacentral:rRNA from 1 species